UCGAAUUCAUGAGCCGUGAGAUCAUGACCUGAACCCAAACCAAGAGCCAGACGCUUAACCGACUGAGCCACCCAGGCACCCUGAAAUCAUGACAUCAUAAGGUUGGAAUAGACCUAGGAUCUUGUGUUUUAAUCCCACACCCAAUUCAGAAACCCACCAACGACAUCCCCAGUGAUGGCUUCCUCGGCCCUCUGUGAGAUGACUCAUUUCUUGGCAAAGCCUGCUGUUCAGGGGAUGGACAGCUCUCAGAAAUUGCUGCUGAAUAAGCACUUGUUGAGUGAGAAACACCUUUCCCAGUGUUCAGACCACUUCUCAGGAGGAAACAACUGGAGGACCACUUCCUAAUCAACACACUUCUGGGUGGAACUGGCAAACGACCCAUUUGAAACGUGGUUGGGAUGAAUAACUGUUCUUGUAGCCAAAUGCUUUCAAAAUACUUCAAGAAAAACCUGUCCAACGAUGCUGAUUCUUGCCUACAGCAGAAACACAUUUAUAUUUUAUACACUUGUUUGUAUUUUCGUCAGCUCCAAUUUCUCUUCAAAAAGCUUAGGAGUUUCUGAUGGUCUUUUGUUCUCCUCUCGAGAGUAAAUGUUCCUAAGGAA